AGGCAGCAGUGGGGAAUAUUGCACAAUGGGCGCAAGCCUGAUGCAGCCAUGCCGCGUGUAUGAAGAAGGCCUUCGGGUUGUAAAGUACUUUCAGCAGUGAGGAAGGUGGAUAUGUUAAUAGCAUACUCAUUUGACGUUAGCUGCAGAAGAAGCACCGGCUAACUCCGUGCCAGCAGCCGCGGUAAUACGGAGGGUGCGAGCGUUAAUCGGAAUUACUGGGCGUAAAGCGCAUGCAGGUGGUUUGUUAAGUCAGAUGUGAAAGCCCGGGGCUCAACCUCGGAAUUGCAUUUGAAACUGGCAAACUAGAGUACUGUAGAGGGGGUAGAAUUUCAGGUGUAGCGGUGAAAUGCGUAGAGAUCUGAAGGAAUACCGGUGGCGAAGGCGGCCCCCUGGACAGAUACUGACACUCAGAUGCGAAAGCGUGGGGAGCAAACAGGAUUAGAUACCCUGGUAG
rnacentral:rRNA from 1 species